GGGGAAUAUUGCACAAUGGAGGAAACUCUGAUGCAGCGACGCCGCGUGAGUGAAGAAGGUCUUCGGAUCGUAAAACUCUGUCCUUGGUGACGAAAAAAAUGACGGUAGCCAAGGAGGAAGCCCCGGCUAACUACGUGCCAGCAGCCGCGGUAAUACGUAGGGGGCGAGCGUUGUCCGGAUUUACUGGGCGUAAAGGGUGCGUAGGUGGUUUCUUAAGUCAGGAGUGAAAGGCUACGGCUCAACCGUAGUAAGCUCUUGAAACUGGGAAACUUGAGUGCAGGAGAGGAAAGUGGAAUUCCUAGUGUAGCGGUGAAAUGCGUAGAUAUUAGGAGGAACACCGGUGGCGAAGGCGGCUUGCUGGACAAAUACUGACGCUGAGGUGCGAAAGCGUGGGGAGCAAACA
rnacentral:rRNA from 2 species